GGGGGUGCACCGGUUUCGACUGGUACGGUUCGGGAUGCAGGCUGCAGGUGGAGUGCCGACCUCCUAACAUUCGGCAAAAAUUUAACUGCCGACAACGACAGUUACGCUCUCGCUGCAUAAACAGCGGAACGCGGGAACCGGCUCCGCCGCCUUGAGGAACCGAAUUCCCGUCGCAAUCGAGGCUGGUCAAGCUCCGGGUCCGGACGGGGUGCGAUGAGAUUUUCCCGGAAUACGGAAACACCGCGUGCCGUGUAGCCAAGCGUUUCCCGACAAUCUGAUACACGACUAAACCUGUAGAUGCCUGUAUUCCGCGUAUUAGGACGCGGGUUCGAUUCCCGCCACCUCCAAAA
rnacentral:tmRNA from 1 species